UUAAUUGUCUGAGACAUUGUAACUACGAAGUUCUGAAAUAUAGGAUAUCUAGCCCCAAGUUACUUUGCAAGAUAUCGCAAAAUUAUUUCAUAUUAAAUGCGUAGUAAUCAUUAAAUCGGUACUAAACAUCUAUAACAUAUGUUACACAUUGUUAGAGGAAAAGAAAGUAAAGACAAUAUAUUGGACAGUGAAUGUAUAUUUUAUCAACAAAGUGAUCAUCUAUUCGCGAAUACUAUCAAAUUUACAUGUAAUAAACAAUAAUGUUGAAAAAUUGCGGAUACAAUCACAUAUCCAACUCGUCUGAAAAGUCAAGCCUCAGAACCAGUUGACAUUGUAAUAAGCCUCAGUUGACAUUAUAAUAACUGUGAAGCGCUUAUCAAUAGCCGAACAAAAUUUUAUAUGAAUAACUUAAACUUCAUAUAAACGGCCCUAAAGCUGAGUGAUGCAGUUAUUAAUCCCGCAGUCCUGCGGGCGAGUUGGAGUGGAAAAGGGAAGUAUAAUAAGUAAAUGUAGUCUCGAAACCAUUUCCAAACUGAAAGUAAUUCCGAACGUUGUUAUAUAUUAACUAAAUUUCUUGUUGUCUCGCUUGUAUUACUUAAAUUCAUAAGAACACAACUAAAUAAAUAUUACGAUAAUAAAUUUCA